rnacentral:siRNA from 1 species
AUUGAUGCUGACGUGGAUAUGCCG